AUCCGGCCGUGUCAAUACUGCCCCCUAGCCCUAACAGGUUAACUAAUUAUGUGACUUCUGAAGGUAAUUGGUUGCACCAUAUCUUAUUUAGGGGCUUCAUAGCAAAGGGGGUAAAAAUAUAUGCACGCAUCACUUUUCCAUUAUUUAUUUCUUAGUUACAUUUUUUGAAACAAGUUAUUUUUUCAUUUCACUUCACAUAUUUGGAUUAUUUUGUUUAUGUCCAUUACAUGAAAUCAAAUAAAAAUACAUUUCAAAUGCAGGUUCUAAUGCAACAAAAUUGGAAAAACGCCAAGGGGGUGAAUACUUUUGCAAGGCACUGUAUUAGGGCAGUAUGCAAAUUGGUGUGGGUCCAGGGUUUCUGGGAUAAUGUUGUUGAUGUGAGCCAUGACCAGCCUUUCAAAGCACUUCAUGGCUACAGACAUGAGUGCUACGGGUCGGAAGUCAUUAAGAAGGUUACCUUAGUGUUCUUGGGCACAGGGACUGUUGUUGUCUGCUUAAAACAUGUUGGUAUUACAGACUCAGACAGGGAGAGGUUGAAAAUGUCAGUGAAAACACUUGCCAGUUGGUCAACGCACGUCCUGGUAAUCCGUGAAUGUUGACCUGUUUAAAGGUCUUACUCACAUUGGGUGCGGAGACCGUGAACACACUCUUCCGGAAGAGCUGGGGCUCUCAGCUGUUCCAGUAAAUACAGUAAAUUAGCUUCAACUGGUGGGGGUAUUUCUACACACCCCGUUUAACCAUACUCUAGGUUUAUCUGUAUUUCUACACACCCCAUUUAGCCAUACCCUAAGUUUAGCUGUAUUUCUACACACCCCAUUUAGCCAUACCCUAGGUUUAUCUGUAUUUCUACACAGCCCAUUUAGCCAUACCCUAGGUUUAUCUGUAUUUCUACACACCCCAUUUAGCCAUACCCUAGGUUUAGCUGUAUUUAUACACACCCCAUUUAGCCAUACCCUAGGUUUAUCUGUAUUUAUACACACCCCAUUUAGCCAUAUCCUAGGUUAAUCUGUAUUUCUACACACCCCAUUUAGCCAUACCCUAGGUUUAUCUGUAUUUCUACACACCCCAUUUAUCCAUACCCUAGGUUUAGCUGUAUUUAUACACACCCCAUUUAGCCAUACCCUAGGUUUAGCUGUAUUUAUACACACCCCAUUUAGCCAUACCCUAGCUUUAGCUGUAUUUAUACACACCCCAUUUAGCCAUUCCCUAGCUUUAGCUGUAUUUAUACAUACCCCAUUUAGCCAUACCCUAGGAUUAGCUGUAUUUCUACACACCCCAUUCAGCCAUACCCAGGAUUAGCUGUAUUUCCACACCCCCAAAACCUCUUCCUGUGGCUAUGGGACAGAGGAGGAGAGAGAGGGAGAUGUCAACAGAGAUAGGUCUGACAGACUAACAUGCAGUCAACUGAAUAUAUUUUCAUUAUUGACUUCUCACCAGUGAUGUCAUCAUAACCAGUAACCUUUUCCACUCUUCCACUCUUGGUCCGGCUCAGCUUGACACUGACCGAUG
rnacentral:lncRNA from 1 species